GACUUAAUUUAUUCUGACAUGUAUAAUCCCUAUCUAUGAAUCUCUGACUAUUUACAAGUUUUUGUUUUCAGGCCGGUUAGAAAAAGAAAUGCAGCUUGGCAAAGUCGGCCCUGUGAUUUUAUUUUUAAUACUUGGUUGCUUCCCUUGGUGUUGUCGAAUGGACGCUACGCCGCUGCAAAACUUGGUCUACUGUGACGUCACAAGUUCCAGACUUCACGUGCACAUUUGUAAUGAUGGAGAAAAUUCUGGUCACUUUUGGAUGCUUAUCACUGGCUAGCAUUUCUGUAGGUGCAAGCGUGACGACAUCUAGACCUGCCGGUAAUUUGGCCCUGCUUGGCCACCAAAAACUGGCAAAAUUCCUGGCCAAUCACCCCGCACCUUACGGCCACAGGUCAGGUCUGCCCAGUAGAAAACAUUCGUGUGACCUGGUCAGGAGCGUCCCCACGACCUUGAGAUGGGGGUGGGUCAUGAGACCCUCGGGAAUUUCCCCCUUUUACAAGAAAUACACCGAAGCUUACGGUAUACCUGU